ACAGCUGUGAUGAGCCUCUAACAUGUAAGAAGAAUCCUUAGUUGGGCAUCUUCUGUGAAAUACACCUGUUACGCUUGGCUUCUGAGCUUC